UACGUAGGGGGCGAGCGUUGUCCGGAUUUAUUGGGCGUAAAGAGCUCGUAGGCGGUUUGGUAAGUUGGAUGUGAAAUCUCCAGGCUCAACUUGGAGGGGUCAUUCGAUACUGCCAUGACUAGAGUUCGGUAGGGGAGUGGAAUUCCCGGUGUAGCGGUGAAAUGCGCAGAUAUCGGGAGGAACACCAAUGGCGAAGGCAGCUCGCUGGGACGGUACUGACGCUGAGGCGCGAAAGCGUGGGGAGCGAACAGG
rnacentral:rRNA from 1 species